GACGAACGCUGGCGGCGUGCUUAACACAUGCAAGUCGAACGGAAAGGCCUGCUUUCCCUUGUGGAUUGCGGGUACUCGAGUGGCGAACGGGUGAGUAACACGUGAGUGAUCUGCCCCCAACUUGGGUAUAAGCCUGGGAAACUGGGUCUAAUUCCCGAUAGGACUGCAGGGUGGUGCCUGUGGUGGAAAACGAUUUUCUAGUGGUUGGGGAUGAGCUCGCGGCCUAUCAGCUUGUUGGUGGGGUAAUGGCCUACCAAGGCGGCGACGGGUAGCCGGCCUGAGAGGGUGGACGGCCACAUUGGGACUGAGAUACGGCCCAGACUCCUACGGGAGGCAGGAGUGGGGAAUCUUGCACAAUGAGCGGAAGCCUGAUGCAGCGACGCCGCGUGGGGGAUGACGGCCUUCGGGUUGUAAACUCCUUUCGACCGCGAGGAAGCCACCUGGUUGGAAGGGUGGUGACGGUAGUGGUAGAAGAAGCACCGGCUAACUACGUG
rnacentral:rRNA from 1 species